GACGAACGCUGGCGGCGUGCUUAACACAUGCAAGUCGAACGGAAAGGCCCUGCUUUUGUGGGGUGCUCGAGUGGCGAACGGGUGAGUAACACGUGAGUAACCUGCCCUUGACUUUGGGAUAACUUCAGGAAACUGGGGCUAAUACCGGAUAGGAGCUCCUGCUGCAUGGUGGGGGUUGGAAAGUUUCGGCGGUUGGGGAUGGACUCGCGGCUUAUCAGCUUGUUGGUGGGGUAGUGGCUUACCAAGGCUUUGACGGGUAGCCGGCCUGAGAGGGUGACCGGCCACAUUGGGACUGAGAUACGGCCCAGACUCCUACGGGAGGCAGCAGUGGGGAAUAUUGCACAAUGGGCGGAAGCCUGAUGCAGCAACGCCGCGUGCGGGAUGACGGCCUUCGGGCUGUAAACCGCUUUCGCCUGUGGCGAAGCGUGAGUGACGGUAAUGGGUAAAGAAGCACCGGCUAACUACGUG
rnacentral:rRNA from 1 species